rnacentral:rRNA from 1 species
GACAGAGGUCCCGAGCGUUAGGCGGAAUCACUGGGCUUAAAGCGUGUGUAGGCGGAGUGCUAAGUACCUUGUGAAAUCCCACGGCUCAACCGUGGAACUGCUUGGUAUACUGGUUCUCUUGAGCCACCUAGGGGCAACCGGAACAAACGGUGGAGCGGUGAAAUGCGUAGAUAUCGAGAGGAACACCUGCGGCGAAGGCGGGUUGCUGGGCCGACACUGACGCUGAUGCGCGAAAGCCAGGGGAGCGAACGGG